rfam:Gorilla gorilla gorilla genomic chromosome, chr12, whole genome shotgun sequence
GUCUUUUUUCCCAAUACUUGUUGGUAAAGGCAACAGAGAAGCCUUCAAGCUCUGAGGGAAAGGGC